AGAGUUUGAUCAUGGCUCAGAAUCAACGCUGGCGGCGCGCUUAACACAUGCAAGUCGCACGAGAAAGUGGAGCAAUCCAUGAGUAAAGUGGCGUACGGGUGAGUAACACGUGGAUCAUCUACCUUUUAGUGGGGAAUACCCCUGGGAAACCGGGGACAAUACCGCAUAAUCCCGUGAGGGGAAAGCAGCAAUGCGCUGAAAGAGGAGUCCGCGGCUGAUUAGCUAGUUGGCGGGGUAACGGCCCACCAAGGCGAAGAUCGGUAGCCGGCCUGAGAGGGCACACGGCCACACUGGCACUGAAACACGGGCCAGACUCCUACGGGAGGCAGCAGUGGGGAAUCUUGCACAAUGGAGGAAACUCUGAUGCAGCGACGCCGCGUGAGCGAUGAAGCCCUUCGGGGUGUAAAGCUCUUUCGACGGGAACGAUAAUGACGGUACCCGAAGAAGAAGCUGCGGCUAACUACGUGCCAGCAGCCGCGGUAAUACGUAGGCAGCGAGCGUUGUUCGGAAUUACUGGGCGUAAAGAGUGCGUAGGCGGUGCUCUAAGUCUGGUGUGAAAUCUCCCGGCUCAACUGGGAGGGUGCGCUAGAAACUGGAGUGCUAGAGUGUGGGAGAGGUAAGCGGAAUUCCUGGUGUAGCGGUGAAAUGCGUAGAUAUCAGGAGGAACACCUGCGGUGUAGACAGCUUACUGGACCACGACUGACGCUGAGGCACGAAAGCGUGGGUAGCAAACAGGAUUAGAUACCCUGGUAGUCC
rnacentral:rRNA from 1 species